rnacentral:lncRNA from 1 species
UCUGGAAUUUCAGGAGAACCCUGAAUGCAUAGAUGGGCAAAAGCUCUGCUGCCGGAUUAACUGGGAGAUCAGAGAAGGCCAAAUUAACGCAGAUUCCACAUUAAAAUAAAGAGGGGCAACAAUCGAUUGCAUAAUGUUAAUCAUAAAAGUAACGAACAGCCAGAUUAAUAGUAGAUCAUUAUGUCUGGCUGCCCAGCUUCGUGGAAGGGAACAACAUGUCAGGAUUUUUUUUCAUCCUUCUUUGUUUAGAGCGGGGUGGGGAGGGGGGGCGGGGGUGGGGGGCAAUGCAGAAACAAGUUAACCAUACAGUGGAAGUUCAGAAUUCCAUGGAGUGAAUAUUCGUCACACUAGCUGAAACAGCUGCAUGAAGGGAAAUAAAGUCGAAAGUGAAACUUGAUAUUUGGUCUCGAAAACUUCAAAUUUGCAUUUGAUAGUUUGAAGUACGCUGUCAUGUAUCGAUUCCUCAAAGACUAUAACCAUUAGGUCUGUUAGAGCCUAAAAUAAUCUGAUGAAUAAUUUUAAAUCCUUCGGUUUAAAGUAUAUUCUUAACGUCCAGGAACAACACCUCUUUCGACAAAAAGGUCCAGGUCAUUCUGUUGUCGAUACCAUGAAUAAAGGGUGUUGAGUCCUUGGUUGUAGAGGCAACAUGUUUACUCCAAAACAUACAACGUUUGACCCCUUAAUAGUAGAAGUCUUCACGAACAUUACAUAUACUGAAAGACGUAGGAUUAAAUCCUAUAACAUGGGGGUCAGCCCGAGGGAAAAGUGGGUAAAGUCAGCGAUUGAGAGCCAAGAAGAAAUGAAACUUUAAGGUUACACGAACUCUGUAACCUAAAAACAAUUAAGUUGGGUUUUGAUGUCAGCAAAAGUUGCAUAAUUAAUGUCCUUUAAAAAACUGUGAGGUUGUUAAUGUCACCAAAACUCACGCCGAGAGAGACGGGGUCUGAUCGAACAUGGCAGUAUAUAAUCUCAAUCGGGAUCUGAUGGGCCAAACAGCGCACUCGAGGGAUGAAAACCAAUAGAGUUAAAAGUUGAAAAAAAAAAUACAAUCUUCAGGCGUACGUAAAAAUAUUUUCAAUAAAAAAUAUUUAUUGAGAGCUGUGAUGGUUGCUUGAGGAGAUUGGAAAAGAGACGAUUAGUUUCCAGAGAGCUGGUGCGGUAAACUUGCUUAAAGAGACUCUCCUAUCAUCUUAUUCAUUGUCUGUUUGGUCUGCAACCUUCCCUUUAUCUACUUUUUUCUACUUCUAUUUAGGCUCUCCCUCUGGCUUCAUGACAAAAUACCAUACAAUGUAUGGCUCAGCUAGGAAUCAACAGAUACAAGAGAUAUUAUUCAAUUCUCUGCCUUAUAUUUCCUCUUUUUAAAAUUUUGAAGAGGGAUUCAAGCUUCUUGGCUUACGUAGGAGGGUCAGGGGAUCUAGUCGGUCAGAAGACUAAACCAUGUAAAUUUGGUUGUCAUUUCGAUUGAUCUAGAACCAGAUCAAUCGAAAAUAAUUUUUGUCACAAUUACCCUAUUAAGAUAAGAAUCAGCCAACUCGGUGAACUCACGAUUGAAAGGAAUCAUAAGAGAAGAUGAUAAUACCACUUCAGGUGAUUUACAGGGAUGUAAGAAUAAACUUGAAAAUGUGAUGUUAUCAUUCAGGAUUUAUAUGAUAUUGUCUCAGAACCUAAAUUUCAAGCGACAAGAUAGAAAAUUAACACAGACCUGACAAAACAGGCAAGAAAACUACGAUGAAUUAUCAUAUUCACGUAUAUUGGAUGUAUUCGGAUAGCAUGCCAAACAUUAGAUAAUAAUUCUUUCCUCAGCAAUUGGACAUAAAAAAAACAAGCAUAUAACAACCUUGUUGAGACACUAUCCACGUUCGCCAAGCAACUAUCCGAUCGUCCGAAAGAGAGAUGUGAAUAGGGAGUGUUGACAAACCCCCAUAUUCAAAGGCACAAACAGAGACAGAACUGAUGAUUUCUCCAAGAUGAUCGGCCCGUUGUACAUGU